CCUACGGGGGGCAGCAGUAGGGAAUCUUUCACAAUGGGCGAAAGCCUGAUGCAGCAACGCCGCGUGCAGGAUGAAGGCCUUCGGGUUGUAAACCGCUUUUAUAAGCGAGAAAUAUGAUGGUACCUUAUGAAUAAGGAUCGGCUAACUACGUGCCAGCAGCCGCGGUCAUACGUAGGAUACGAGCAUUAUCCGGAGUGACUUGGUGUAAAGAGUUGCGUAGGUGGCAUAAUAAGUAGCUAGUGAAAUCUGGUGGCUCAACCAGUCAGACUAUUAGCUAAACUGUUAAGCUCGAGACCGGUAGGGGUAAGUGGAAUUCCUGGUGUAGGGGUGAAAUGCGUAGAUAUUAGGAAGAACACCAAUAGCGUAGGCAGGUUACUGGAACGGUACUGACACUGAGGCACGAAAGCGUAGGGAGCAAACAGGAUUAGGUACCCGAGUAGUC
rnacentral:rRNA from 1 species